rnacentral:rRNA from 1 species
GUUGCGGUUAAAAAGCUCGUAGUUGGAUCUCGGUUUCACUCAGGUGGUACACCUUGCGGUGUUCACUAUCUGGGUGGACGUUUCUGUUGGUUCGCUCUUGGUGCUCUUCAUCGGGUGCCAUUUGGUGGCCAGCACGUUUACUUUGAAAAAAUUGGAGUGCUCAAAGCAGGCGUUACAGCCUGAACAUUAGUGCAUGGAAUAAUGGAAUAGGAUCUCGAUUCUAUUUCGUUGGCUUUCGGAGUCGAGGUAAUGAUUAAUAGGGACAGACGGGGGCAUUCGUACUGCGACGUUAGAGGUGAAAUUCUUGGAUCGUCGCAAGACGAACUACUGCGAAAGCAUUUGCCAAGAAUGUUUUCAUUAAUCAAGAACGAAAGUUAGAGGUUCGAAGGCGAUCAGAUACCGCCCUAGUUCUAACCAUAAACGAUGCCAACCGGCGAUCCGUCGUCGUUAAUUGAAUGACUCGACGGGCAGCCUCCGGGAAACCAGAGUGUUUGGGUUCCGGGGGAAGUAUGGUUGCAAAGCUGAAACUUAAAGGAAUUGACGGAAGGGCACCACCAGGAGUGGAGCCUGCGGCUUAAUUUGACCCAACACGGGAAAUCUCACCAGGCCCGGACACCGGAAGGAUUGACAGAUUGAGAGCUCUUUCUUGAUUCGGUGGGUGGUGGUGCAUGGCCGUUCUUAGUUGGUGGAGCGAUUUGUCUGGUUAAUUUUGAUAACGAACGAGACUCUGGCCUACUAACUAGAAGGUCUAUCCUUUAUGGGUAGGCCUCUGCUUCUUAGAGGGACGGGCGGCGUUUAGCCGCACGAGAAUGAGCAAUAACAGGUCUGUGAUGCCCUUAGAUGUUCUGGGCUGCACGCGCGCUACACUGAAGGAAUCAGCAUGUUCUCCCCUCCCUGAAAAGGGCGGGUAACCCGUUGAAACUCCUUCGUGAUGGGGAUUGGAGAUUGUAAUUAUUCUCCAUGAACGAGGAAUUCCCAGUAGGCGCGAGUCAUCAGCUUGCGUCGAUUACGUCCCUGCCCUUUGUACACACCGCCCGUCGCUACUACCGAUCGAGUGAUUUAGUGAGGACUUCGGACUGGUCUUCAAGUUGGCUUCGGUCGGCUCGAAGUUCCGGAAAGAUGCCCAAACUUGAUCACUUAGAGGAGGUAAAAGUCGUAACAAGGUUUCCGUAGGUGAACCUGCGGAAG